UGAAUACGAGACGCUAAGGCGUCGAAGUAGUGUAUGUCAUACUUCCGAGAAAAGCUUGCACUGUCAUAGAUAAAAAACGCCUGUACCAUAACCGACACAGGUGGGUAGGUAGAGUAUACUAAGGGGCGCGAGAUAACUCUCUCUAAGGAACUCGGCAAAAUAACUCCGUAACUUCGGGAGAAGGAGUGCCUUAUUCGUAAGGUUGCAAUAACAAGAUCCAAGCAACUGUUUAUCAAAAACACAGGUCUCCGCUAAGUCGUAAGACGAUGUAUGGGGGCUGACGCCUGCCCAGUGCCAGAAGGUUAAAGAAGUUGGUUAGCAAUUGCGAAGCUGAUAACUGAAGCCCUGGUGAACGGCGGCCGUAACUAUAACGGUCCUAAGGUAGCGAAAUUCCUUGUCGGGUAGUUCCGACCCGCACGAAAGGCGUAAUGAUUUGGAUACUGUCUCGGAGAGGGGCUCGGUGAAAUAGACUUGUCUGUGAAGAUGCGGACUACCUGCACCAGGACAGAAAGACCCUAUGAAGCUUUACUGUAACUUGAAAUUGAAAUUGGACUUUAUUCGCGCAGUAUAGGUGGGAGGCGUUGAUUAUAAUCUUGUGGGAUUAUUGGAGCCAUCAGUGAGAUACCACUCUUGUAAUGUUAGAUUUCUAACUUUGAAUCAUUAUCUGGUCAAAGAACAGUUUCAGGCGGGCAGUUUGACUGGGGCGGUCGCCUCCUAAACGGUAACGGAGGCGUACAAAGGUUUCCUCUGAACGGUUAGAAAUCGUAUCUAGAGUGUAAAGGCAUAAGGAAGCUUGACUGUGAGACCUACAAGUCGAGCAGGGACGAAAGUCGGUCUUAGUGAUCUGACGGUACUGAGUGGAAAGGCCGUCACUCAACGGACAAAAGUUACUCUAGGGAUAACAGGCCGAUCUCCCCCAAGAGUUCACAUCGACGGGGAGGUUUGGCACCUCGAUGUCGGCUCAUCGCAUCCUGGGGCGGUAGUACGUCCCAAGGGUUGGGCUGUUCGCCCAUGAAAGCGGUACGCGAGCUGGGUUCAGAACGUCGUGAGACAGUUCGGUCCAUAUCCGGUGUAGGCGUUAGAAUAUUGAGAGGAGCCUUCUUUAGUACGAGAGGACCGAGAAGGACAUACCUCUGGUGUUCCAGUUAUCGUGCCAACGGUAAACGCUGGGUAGCUAUGUAUGGAGUGGAUAACCGCUGAAAGCAUCUAAGUGGGAAGCCCACCUCAAGAUAAGUAUUCUCA
rnacentral:rRNA from 1 species